AUUGAACGCUGGCGGCAGGCCUAACACAUGCAAGUCGAGCGAGUGGCGAACGGGUGAGUAACACGUGGUAACCUGCCUUACACAAGGGGAUAGCCUUUGGAAACGAAGAAUAAUAUCCUAUAGUGUAAGAUGGACUUGCUUCUGAUUAGCUAGUUGGUGAGAUAAAAGCCCACCAAGGCUAUGAUCAGUAGCCGGUCUGAGAGGAUGAUCAGCCACACUGGGACUGAGACACGGCCCAGACUCCUACGGGAGGCAGCAGUGGGGAAUAUUGCACAAUGGGCGCAAGCCUGAUGCAGCCAUGCCGCGUGUAUGAAGAAGGCCCUAGGGUUGUAAAGUACUUUCAGUCGGGAGGCGUUACCGACAGAAGAAGCACCGGCUAACUCCGUGCCAGCAGCCGCGGUAAUAC
rnacentral:rRNA from 1 species